CCUACGGGUGGCUGCAGUGGGGAAUAUUGGACAAUGGGGGGAACCCUGAUCCAGCCAUGCCGCGUGUGUGAAGAAGGCCCUCGGGUUGUAAAGCACUUUCAGUGAGGAAGAACGCCUGGUGGUUAAUACCCAUCAGGAAAGACAUCACUCACAGAAGAAGCACCGGCUAACUCCGUGCCAGCAGCCGCGGUAAUACGGAGGGUGCGAGCGUUAAUCGGAAUUACUGGGCGUAAAGCGCGCGUAGGUGGCUUGAUAAGCCGGUUGUGAAAGCCCCGGGCUCAACCUGGGAACGGCAUCCGGAACUGUCAAGCUAGAGUGCAGGAGAGGAAGGUAGAAUUCCCGGUGUAGCGGUGAAAUGCGUAGAGAUCGGGAGGAAUACCAGUGGCGAAGGCGGCCCUCUGGACUGACACUGACACAGAGGUGCGAAAGCGUGGGUAGCAAACAGGAUUAGAUACCCCGGUAGUC
rnacentral:rRNA from 1 species